rnacentral:rRNA from 1 species
GACGAACGCUGGCGGCGUGCUUAACACAUGCAAGUCGAGCGGUAAGGCCCUUUCGGGGGUACACGAGCGGCGAACGGGUGAGUAACACGUGGGUGACCUGCCCUCAGCUCUGGGAUAAGCCCGGGAAACUGGGUCUAAUACUGGAUAUGACUCCAUGACGCAUGUUGUGGGGUGGAAAGCCUUGUGCGGCUGAGGAUGGGCCCGCGGCCUAUCAGCUUGUUGGUGGGGNGAUGGCCUACCAAGGCGACGACGGGUAGCCGGCCUGAGAGGGCGACCGGCCACACUGGGACUGAGACACGGCCCAGACUCCUACGGGAGGCAGCAGUGGGGAAUCUUGCGCAAUGGGCGAAAGCCUGACGCAGCGACGCCGCGUGAGGGAUGACGCC